GAAAUGCGAUAAGUAAUGUGAAUUGCAGAAUUCAGUGAAUCAUCGAAUCUUUGAACGCACAUUGCGCCCGCCAGUAUUCUGGCGGGCAUGCCUGUACGAGCGUCAUUUCAACCAUCAAGCCCCCGGGCUUGUGUUGGGGACCUGCGGCUGCCCGCAGGCCCUGAAAACCAGUGGCGGGCUCGCUGUCACACCGAGCGUAGUAGCAAUCACCUCGCUCAGGCCGUGCUGCGGGUUCCGGCCGUUAAACAGCCUUACAAAACCCAAGGUUGACCUCGGAUCAGGUAGGAAGACCCGCUGAACUUAAGC
rnacentral:misc_RNA from 1 species